rnacentral:rRNA from 1 species
GAUGAACGCUAGCGGCAGGCUUAACACAUGCAAGUCGAGGGGUAUAGUUCUUCGGAGCUAGAGACCGGCGCACGGGUGCGUAACGCGUAUGCAAUCUACCUUUUGCAGAGGGAUAGCCCAGAGAAAUUUGGAUUAAUACCCCAUGGUAUGUGAGAAUGGCAUCAUUUUCACAUUAAAGUCACAACGGCAAAAGAUGAGCAUGCGUCCCAUUAGCUAGUUGGUAAGGUAACGGCUUACCAAGGCAACGAUGGGUAGGGGUCCUGAGAGGGAGAUCCCCCACACUGGUACUGAGACACGGACCAGACUCCUACGGGAGGCAGCAGUGAGGAAUAUUGGACAAUGGGCGCAAGCCUGAUCCAGCCAUGCCGCGUGCAGGAUGACGGUCCUAUGGAUUGUAAACUGCUUUUGUACAGGAAGAAACACUGGUUCGUGAACCAGCUUGACGGUACUGUAAGAAUAAGGAUCGGCUUACUCCGUGCCAGCCGCCGCCGUAACAC